CAAAGUAUAAUUCGGUUCUUUGAACCUGCUUAAAACUUUUUGGAUGCAAACUGGACGCAUAGUAGUAGCAUCGUAAACAAUGACACCUCGAGAAAGACAGGAGGGAGGUUUCUGAGAUCUAAAGUCCUGGAUUCUCGACCUGGUUUUGGGACAACAUACUCUCUUGCUUCACGGUUUUUUUUUUUCCCUUAUCGCAGAUAAGUGGCUUUGCUUCUGAUAAAACUUAAGCGUGGCUUUCUUUUUUGUCUUGUUUUGUUGUUCUUGAAUGCCCCGGUGCUUUUUUAUUUCAUUAUUUUGAAAUUUGGAAGUGGUUAUCUUGAUGAGUAUUUCAGUUUUUGUCUGAAGUUUUUGAGUUCUGGAGAUGGGUUUAUGAUUCUGUUUGGCUUCUGCGAAUUGAAGAUGCGUGCUUGAUGAUCUAGGUAGUUAAAGAAGGCAAAAAUAAGAAUUGGGUUUGCUUUAUUUUGGCUUCCUCUAGGUGAAAACCAUUUACUGUUAUCAAUUAUUUUUUUUGCAUAGCCAAGGUGGUGAUUCAAAAGGGGGCAAUGGUUUUAUAGUUGCGAUCUAAAUUGUUGUCGAAAAAAACAUGGAAGGGAAUUUGUCACAAGGAGGUAUGAUUCCAGGCGGGGCUCCUUUUGGAGGCCUUGACUUGCAAGGAUCAAUGAGAGUUCAUCAUCAAGCACAGCAUCCACACACUAUGCACCACCACCAGCACCCUCUCCAUCGGCAAGGAUCUUCAACCCUCACCUCAGUUGAAGAAGGUUUUCCACUCACGAUGGGGUUCAUGCACAACUCUGAUCAAAACAUUUCCAUGAAUGAUUACAAUAAAGGAGACAGGGGAAAAAAUUCAGUCAGUGAUGAAGAUGAGCCAAGCUAUACUGAAGAAGGAGCUGAUGGUCACAAUGAUGCAAUCACAGGGAAAAAGGGGACGCCGUGGCAGCGUGUUAAGUGGACUGAUAAGAUGGUUAGGCUCUUGAUAACUGCCGUGUCUUAUAUAGGUGAGGACGGGACUUCAGAUUGUGGUGGUGGGAUGCGUAGGAAAUUCACAGUUUUGCAGAAAAAGGGAAAGUGGAAAUCAGUUUCAAAAGUCAUGGCUGAAAGGGGCUUCCAUGUUUCUCCACAGCAGUGUGAGGAUAAAUUCAAUGACCUUAAUAAAAGGUAUAAAAGGCUCAAUGAUAUGCUUGGGAGGGGCACUUCUUGUCAGGUUGUGGAAAACCCUGCACUUUUGGAUGUUAUAGAUUAUUUAACAGAAAAGGAGAAAGAUGAUGUCAGGAAGAUAUUAAACUCAAAGCAUCUUUUCUAUGAAGAAAUGUGUUCCUAUCACAAUGGAAAUAGGUUGCACCUGCCUCAUGAUCCAGCUUUGCAGCGUUCCUUACAGUUGGCUCUAAGAAGUAGAGAUGAUCAUGAUAAUGAUGAUGCUAGGAGGCACCAACAUGAUGAUCUUGAUGAAGAUGAUCAAGAGAUUGAAACUGAUGAUCAUGAUGAAUUUGAGGAGAAUCAUGCUUCACAUGGGGAUUGCAGGGGCAUACAUGGGGUGUUAGGGGGUUCUGCAAAGAGGCCCAGACAAGGCCAGGGCCAUGAAGAUGCUUGUUUUUGGAAUUCAUCUCAGGAGCCUAAUAAAGGGUCUUCUUCUUAUCAUCCACAGGCUGCCCAGGUUGAUAUGAAUCAAGUCUCACCUGAAAGUUCAAAAGCAGUUUGGUUGCAGAAGCAGUGGAUGGAAUCCCGCACCCUUCAGUUAGAAGAACGGAAGCUACAAAUUCAACAAGAGAUGUUGGAAUUGGAAAAACAGCGAUUUAAGUGGCAAAGAUUUAGCAAGAAAAGAGACCGUGAACUAGAAAAGUUGAGGAUGGAAAAUGAGAGGAUAAAACUUGAGAAUGAGCAGAUGGCAUUAGAGUUGAAACGCAAGGAAAUGGGCGCUGAUUUUAAUUGAUUGUCUGGUCCUGUUGAUUUCGUUCAUCAUAACAACUGGACUUGCAAGCAAAUCAAUUUUGUGUUUAUGAGCAUGCACUUUAUCUUCUUCAGGCUUAGAGAGAAAAAAGACUUUUCACUCUGGGAGAAGCCAGAGGGUGCAGGGCCUGACCUUGUUGCAGAUGGUGUCUAGUCUUGCUUGAUACCUGCAGAUUAUGCUUUAAUGGUUCACCAAGUGCUUGCAAGGAAGAUAUGUCAAAUGAUUCUGGAGGAUUAUCAAGUAAAAUCUUGUUCUCGCCACAUUUUUAUUUCUAAUGAUUAACAUUUUCUUAUCCACAUCAGGUGCCGCGUGCCUUCUUUCCGGUAGUGCCUUUCUAUUCAGAGGAAAGGAUAUUUUGGAAUGGCUUGAGGCUUUCAAAUGUUUCGAUACUAGAGUUCCUUAAGACCUCGAAUCUUGAUGUUUUUUUCUUCGCCAGAUCUUUCAAACUUGGACUUUUUUCAAUGCUCAACUAUGGCAGAGUAUUGGUUGCUUUGUAAAUAGAAUUAGUUUCACGGCCUUUUUCUUAAUGGAAGUUUAAUGGUAGCAUUCCACUAGGCCAAUGCAAUGAUAGACCAUUAACUGCAGCUUUCAUCUAGCUGUUUCAAAUGUUCACCCGGGAAACAUUACUACUAUGACCCACUACUGUUUUGCUAUGAACUGCAACUAGUAGUUGUAUGGUCUUUUCAUGGCUUAAAGAUUGACAAUAACUUCGGUUUAUCUUGUGCAAUCAGACGUAUGGAGAUGGACGUCUUAAUGAGUUGUAAACAGAUGAAAAUGAAUAGCAGUGCUCUUAGCAUGGCAGCCAAGCUCUGCCUUUCUUCAAAA